rnacentral:rRNA from 1 species
UGCCUAAUACAUGCAAGUCGAACGGGGAAAGCUUUCGGGCGAGUACUAGUGGCGCACGGGUGAGUAACACGUGGGUAAUCUGCCUUCGAGCGUGGGAUAACUGUCCGAAAGGAUAGCUAAUACCACAUAAGACCACAGGAUCUGCGGAUCCAGGGGUCAAAGGUUUUUCGCUCGAAGAUGAGCCCGCGCGGGAUUAGCUAGUUGGUGAGGUAAUGGCUCACCAAGGCUACGAUCCCUAGCUGGUCUGAGAGGAUGAUCAGCCACACUGGAACUGAGACACGGUCCAGACUCCUACGGGAGGCAGCAGUAGGGAAUAUUGCGCACUGGAGGAAACUCUGACGCAGCGACGCCGCGUGAGUGAUGUUUCCUUCGGGUCGUAAAGCUC